rnacentral:miRNA from 1 species
GUGGGGUGGGGGGGGGGG